rnacentral:rRNA from 1 species
GACGAACGCUGGCGGCGUGCUUAACACAUGCAAGUCGAACGGAAAGGCCCUGCUUUUGUGGGGUGCUCGAGUGGCGAACGGGUGAGUAACACGUGAGUAACCUGCCCUUGACUUUGGGAUAACUUCAGGAAACUGGGGCUAAUACCGGAUAGGAGCUCCUGCUGCAUGGUGGGGGUUGGAAAGUUUCGGCGGUUGGGGAUGGACGCGCGGCUUAUCAGCUUGUUGGUGGGGUAGUGGCUUACCAAGGCUUUGACGGGUAGCCGGCCUGAGAGGGUGAACGGCCACAUUGGGACUGAGAGACGGCCCAGACUCCUACGGGAGGCAGCAGUGGGGAAUAUUGCACAAUGGGCGGAAGCCUGAUGCAGCAACGCCGCGUGCGGGAUGACGGCCUUCGGGUUGUAAACCGCUUUCGCCUGUGACGAAGCGUGAGUGACGGUAAUGGGUAAAGAAGCACCGGCUAACUACGUG